AUUGAACGCUGGCGGAAUGCUUUACACAUGCAAGUCGAACGGCAGCACGGGGCAACCUGGUGGCGAGUGGCGAACGGGUGAGUAACGCGUGGGUAACCUGCCCUUUGCAGGGGGAUAACAGUGAGAAAUCACUGCUAAUACCGCAUACCAACUUCUUUCGCAUGAAGGAAGUUUGAAAGAUUUAUCGGCAAAGGAUGGACCCGCGUUGGAUUAGCUAGUUGGUGAGAUAACAGCCCACCAAGGCAACGAUCCAUAGCCGGCCUGAGAGGGUGAACGGCCACACUGGGACUGAGACACGGCCCAGACUCCUACGGGAGGCAGCAGUGGGGAAUAUUGGACAAUGGGCGCAAGCCUGAUCCAGCAAUGCCGCGUGGAUGAAGAAGGUCUUCGGAUUGUAAAGUCCUUUCGACGGGGACGAUGAUGACGGUACCCGUAGAAGAAGCCCCGGCUAACUUCGUG
rnacentral:rRNA from 1 species